rnacentral:rRNA from 1 species
UUAGCAUAUCCCAAUUCGGAGGAAAAGAUGAAAAGAACUUUGAAAAUAGAGUUAACAGUACGUGAAAUUGCUGAAAGGGAAACGUUUGAAGUUAGUAUUGUAUUCGUUGGAUCAGCUUCGCAAGGAGUGUAUUCUGAUGAUAAGCAAGUCAACAUCAAUCUUUGGGUGUUGGAUAAGGGUUUUGAGGACGUAGCAAUUUAAUUGUGUUAUAACUUGAGACUUGGAUACAAUGCUUGGGAUUGAGGAACGCGUAGUAAGCUUGAGCGGAUCAGCAAUGAUCUCCUACUAUGGAUGUGU